AAUAUCAGAUAAGGAGUGCCUCUCGCUUAGUUGGUCAGUUUCAGUGUCAGGAUAACCUUGUUAUGCAAUUUUCUUGCUGGGCAGAGUAUAGCUGUUUGCAGCUUAUCUAGGUCAAAAUUUGAAUUCAACUGAUGGACAAAAAGUGCGCGUCUCCUUGCUGUUCAUAUUUAUUGUGUUUUCAAGCUAUAUACACAAGGAUUAAGGCUGGAAUAUCAACUUCUGCUCAUUCGUCGUAAGGUUCAUUAAACCAGUGGUGCAGGGAAUUGAUUGUAUACUCAGCCUUGAUUGCAUCAGAUUCUUCGCCCGUGAAAAUUAUACAAAGAAAUGCAACAUUUUGCUUUUGCUUUAGAGGGUGGAUUCUCCUGUUCAUUUCUUUCAUUCGUGGGACUUAGCUAUAUGCGUGAUUAAAAUCAAUGGAUCUGCCACUUUGUGGAACUUAAUAGUGUAAGGCAGACUUUGAAGGACCUGGAUGUGAUUACUGUGACACACUUUUCACUAGGAAUAUAUAUUUUGUCAAGCAGUGAUUUUUGAGAUUCAGUGAUUGAAUCCGAAUUUGUGUUUGUUUUAAAAAAAACAUGUAAAAUAAAUUCUCUCACAAUCAUAAUACUGGAUUACAACUUAUAUAAAUAUUACGCAACUUGAAUAAAAAUUUUUAUUUGAAUUUGAAAUGUAUUUGUUUAUAAAGCAAAAUGUUAUAUGAAUUCAACGUGAUUUCAACCAAAUAUCAACGUUUGUACAACCGAAAAAUUUCAACCAAAUCUCAACCUAAUUUCAACCAAUGUUCACUUUUGUUCAAUGUUGAUAUUUGACGUUGAAACAACGUUGAAGCUUCAACGUUGCCUCAACUUUCAUUUGCAACCAAAAAUCAACCAUAAAUCAACCAAAAAUUCGACCCAUUUUCAACGUUUAUUCAACGUUGAAAAUUGACGUUGAAACAACGUUGUGUCUCAACGUUGCCUCAACUUUCAUAUGCAACCAAAAUUCAACGUUGAUUCAACGUUGAAGUGCAACGUUGAUUCAACGUUGAAUCAACGUUGAAA